GCUUACGCGUACAUUGUGUAUUAGGCUACUAAAGUAGUAUAGCUGGUAUGAAAUAGUUGUGCUCGAGUUAUAAUUUCAUAGAUUUAACGAAUAAUUAGAAAAAUAAUAGUGCCCGUGUCUGGCGAUACAUAUGGAUAAUUUGGCGUACUUGUGUGGAACUAUCAAAGCCACGGCCUAUGGGGGAGUACAACAAACGCUUACACAGUAAUAAUAAUAAGUGCAGCUCGGAGCAAACACUGGAAAACCCGAUUCGCACAGCAAACUUAAUCGACAGUCGUUUACGGUGUAUAUAUAUUGGUAAUCGCCAAUGCUCGGCACGGCUAUUAUUAUCUAAUCUCCGCCGCAGUGCUGUUGUGUGCAAAAAAUACAUCCUACGCGAGCUCCGAGAAACGACGGCUAAGGCAAGUUAAGUACACGCACAAAACACACAGCUUGGCGAUGCUAUCCGAGACCUGAUGAUAACACUUGUGAGCUAUAUAACUGCGGCGGCGGUAGUAGUUGCCAGUCGGUGCCGUGCACGCAAUCACACCACAACGCCGACCGGCUCAAAUGGAUUUUCCUCUUUUGAAACCAAUCAUAAUACAUUGGUCUGCACCGGCACCGGCGUACUCAGAUAAGGACAGAACAGUAACUGAUGGUAGAACGAGGGCAAGACGAAUGAGGAGGGGCAAUGAGGUUUUUGAUGGAUGAAAAAUUGGUCGACAGAAAAAAUAAUACAUUGUUUCUGAUACAUAUGGCUGUACGUAUUCACUUUGAAGCGACACACAGGUAUCGACCUUAAAGAAAUACUUAUUUUUUUUUUUGGUAUUGAAAAGAUAUACAAUUUAAUAGCGCAAUAAGUACUCGUGUAUAUAUAUAUAUAUAUAUAUGAUAAUAAUAAUAUAAGUAGCACUGAGAAAGAUACGUUAAUUGUAUUAUAAUUGUAUCACUUUUGUUGUAGAUUAAGUACAGUUUAUCAUGAUAGUUUUUUACAUAGUCAAUUGUUAUAAUAUGACCGUUUAUUUGGUAUAUAAUUUUCUUUUUGGGGACCUAAAAGCCGAUUAUUGAUUGAGCUAUUAGAAAAUUAUUUUGAUGAAUUAAACUACCUACAACUACCUAUAAAAAAUAUAAACGCUUAUAUCACAUUUUAAAAACUAAUAUAAAAAAUUGGCCUUAGAAGCGAAAAUAAAAUUGAAACGGUUUGGUUGACACCUUGGAAAAUGACUUGAUGCAUUAUUCUUAUUUGUAUAAAUUUGGGUUCGUUCUGUUUCCCUUAAAAGAAAUUGACUUUAUAGUCAAAAACAUAAAUAUCCCAACAUUACUACAUAAAAACAUUUUUUUGACGUUUUAAUCAAAAAUGAAAAUAAAUAUAUUAUCUUAACAGUUGACUAUUCUGCUGGUAGGUUUAUUUUAAAAUAUGUUUUUUUACUGAUAAAUGAU